rnacentral:rRNA from 1 species
UGAGUAAUACAUCGGAACGUGCCUAGUAGUGGGGGAUAACUACUCGAAAGAGUGGCUAAUACCGCAUGAGAUCUAUGGAUGAAAGCAGGGGACCUUCGGGCCUUGUGCUACUAGAGCGGCCGAUGGCAGAUUAGGUAGUCGGUGGGAUAAAAGCUUACCAAGCCUACGAUCUGUAGCUGGUCUGAGAGGACGAUCAGCCACACUGGGACUGAGACACGGCCCAGACUCCUACGGGAGGCAGCAGUGGGGAAUUUUGGACAAUGGGGGAAACCCUGAUCCAGCAAUGCCGCGUNCAGGAUGAAGGCCUUCGGGUUGUAAACUGCUUUUG